AUAAAAUGGUGUUUUCAGAUUCUAUUUCUGGCAGUGAGACAGAGGAUGAAGGAAGACUAGGAACAAGGCUGCUGAAUCGGCUUAGAGGAGAAGCCAGCCAUCUGUGGUAAGCAGAGCUAUGAAGUGACCCACCUGGAAGGAGCUCAAGUCCCCAGCCAACAGCCAACAAGGACCAGAGACCUGCUAACAACACAUGGACGAUCUCUGAAGCAGAUUCUCCAGCCCUCAUCAAGCUUUGAGAUGACUAUAGCCCCAGCGAGAGCUUGCCUAAAACCUCAUGAGACCAACUAAGCUAAGCCACUGUCAGAUUCUUAACCCCAGGAACUGUGUGAACCAAUAAAUAUGUCUUGUUUAAGCGGC